rnacentral:rRNA from 1 species
UCGGUAGGUGAACCUGCGGAAGGAUCAUU